UCCAGACUCCUACGGGAGGCAGCAGUGGGGGAUAUUGCACAAUGGGGGAAACCCUGAUGCAGCGACGCCGCGUGUGGGAAGACGGUCCUCUGGAUUGUAAACCACUGUCCCCAGGGACGAAGAUGACGGUACCUGGGGAGGAAGCCCGGCUAACUACGUGCCAGCAGCCGCGGUAAUACGUAGGGGGCAAGCGUUAUCCGGAUUUAUUGGGUUUAAAGGGUGCGUAGGCGGGAUGCCAAGUCAGCGGUAAAAAUGCGGUGCUCAACGCCGUCGAGCCGUUGAAACUGGCGUUCUUGAGUGGGCGAGAAGUAUGCGGAAUGCGUGGUGUAGCGGUGAAAUGCAUAGAUAUCACGCAGAACUCCAAUUGCGAAGGCAGCAUACCGGCGCCCUACUGACGCUGAGGCACGAAAGCGUGGGUAUCGAACAGGAUUAGAUACCCUCGUA
rnacentral:rRNA from 1 species